UGAGGAAUAUUGGUCAAUGGGCGGAAGCCUGAACCAGCCAAGUCGCGUGAGGGACGACGGUCCUAUGGAUUGUAAACCUCUUUUGCCGGGGAGCAAAGCCGACCUUGCGAGGUUGGAAGGAGAGUACCCGGAGAAAAAGCAUCGGCUAACUCCGUGCC
rnacentral:rRNA from 1 species